GCGCCUAUAGCUCAGUUGGUAGAGCAGCUGACUCUUAAUCAGCGGGUCACAGGUUCGAGUCCUGUUGGGCGCACCA
rnacentral:tRNA from 1 species